rnacentral:tRNA from 1 species
AGGCAUGGCUCAACUGGAUAGAGCAUCUGACUUCGGAUCAGAGGGUUGUGGGUUCAAGUCCUACUGCCUG